AACAAAUUUUGGUUUGUUUGAGAGUGUACAAAAAAGACUGUUGAAGCUCAGUGAGGCAAUUUUAAUCGUUUCACCAGGUUCACUGACACCUAACUGUGAAGAAUUUCACACUCUACCUCCAGUCUACCAACUUAGCCCUGUGCCUGACUGAAAACUACACCAAGAACGAAACUUUUUUCUUUUCCCCCUCUCUGUCUGAAGCGCGUCCGUGAUUGCGCGCUCACGAUUGGCAGCUCCACGUCGACAUUCUUCCAGCUGUGUGCGCGACGCAGAAAGACACGGCGGCGAUGAGGCGCCUGAGCGAGCACUUGGUCCGAGCGAAAAUUAAGUAAAUAAAUAAAAGAAUAAAUAAAUGAUUAUCAUCGAAUAAAAACUUCUGCAGUGGACAUUUAGUCCUGGUUGCCAUAUUUAAAAAUGGUGCUUUCCCUUUUGGCUUUGCAUUUUGUGCAUUUAACCUCAUGCAUGAAGUGCUGAGUAGCAGCUGUGAACUCCAGCAGCUCCAAAUAGACACGUCAGCUGUUUUACCUAUCCCCCACUAUGACCGUUCACUUCACAACCUUGAAACAAGUUGGAAGACGAGAAGUCCUAUAGGAGAAGAGGAUUAGCGAGCUCUUCUGUGGCUUUCCAAGUAAAGUUCUGUGAUACACUCUGGCUCUAAUUGUUUGCAGUCAGUGCAUUACAGAACUUUGUUUUGGGAGUUUAAUGCUCUUGCCUAGAGGAAACAAAUAUUACAUGUCGAAGGAAAGAAUAACAACCACACAAGCCCCCUGAUGGUGCUUGGCUUUGUCUCUUCUUUAAUCAUACAAAAAUGAAGUUGUCUCACUUAGUUUUUAUUGUUAAUAUAUUGUUAGCAUUAUUCUUACCAUAUGCAUUGUAAUACUGACCUAAAAUAAAGAGCAACCUUUUUUGACAC